ensembl:misc_RNA
UGGCAAAGCUAGGCUAGGUCUUGGAGGCUGGUGUAAGGCGAAGCGGGUGAAGGCAGGAGGGCUGAUGGAGAGACUGGGGGGAAGAAAAGCCGAAAUGGAUUCAUGGUGCCUUGGAUGGAGGACGAGAGGAGAAUUGCAAGCUCCUUCAACUCGUUCUGUCCGGUGAGAAGUGAUCAAGCUUGGGCUGACAAGAGGCUCAGGGAGCCCUCACGUUCUUUUGCUUUUUUACCUGCCAAUCAAACUGCUACAAGACAACACCCUGAUCUGGCAUGGACAU